rnacentral:lncRNA from 1 species
CAAUUAAGCCUUCUGUAAGGAUCGAAUUCAUUUUUUUCAAUACAGAUCCGAUUUUUAUUUCUCUCUAGCUUAAUAUGGUAUCAGAGCAAUUUUCUACUUCCAGAUUCUUCCUCUUGCGAGCUUGAUUCUUGGUUCCAAUUGUUUUCCAUCAAAUCAAUCGAGACUUGCUACCUGUGUUUCAGUGCUCAUUUUUUGAAAAAAAAAAAAAAAUCCAUGGUGACAAAACCUUUGAUGCAAUUGGACAAUUCUUCUUCGUCAGUUAGCAAUUACGCCAAUGAUGAUGGUUCGAGUCCUUACGAUCUUCAUCAUUCGGACAGUCCAGGUCUUGUCAUGGUUUCUCAAUAGCUAACUGGUGAUAAUUAUGCUUCUUGGAACAGAGCUAUGGUGAUAGCCAUGUUUGUAAAGAACAAACCAGGGUUUAUUGAUGGAUCUAUCCCAGACCAAAAGGUAAUGAUACUCUCCAUAACUUAUGGCCUCGCAAUAACAACAUUGUUAUUUCCUGGAUACUUAAUUCCGCAUCUAAGGAGAUAUCAGCCAGUGUUAUAUAUUCUAAUUCUGCUCAAGAAAUCUAGGAGGAUCUCAAAGAGAGAUCCCAGUAGAGAAAUGGUCCACACAUCCUUCUUACAGGAGGUUAGUUGAUCGUUUGUUGUACCUCACCAUCUCCUAGCCAGACAUCACAUUCGCAUUGCACAAACUGAGUCAAUUUGUAUCUGCUCCCCAACACCCUAGAGCCGUCGCUGAUGCUGAUUGAGGGUUCUUGUCAAAAUUUCCCGUAAAUCUGUAAUAGGUUUUUAUAUAUUUCUUAGCGACUCCAUGAUUUCUUGGAAAACCAAGAAGUAGUCUACUAUUUCUCGCUCAUCUGCAAAGGCAGAGUAUCAUGCCCUUGCUUUGACAGCCAGUGAGAUAAUUGGGCUUCAUCAACUAUUGGCAGAUUUUUCAAGUCUCAGUUCCUAGACUAGCUUUGCUAUUCUGUGAUAAUCAGGUUGCAACCACUAAUUCCACAUUCCAUGAGUGUAAGAAGCAUAUCGAAAUCGAUUGUCACUUAGUGAGGGAUUAGAUUGCAGAAGGCUUCAUCAAACUUCUUCCUAUUCAUGCUAUUUCCUUAUUUCCUUUGCUGUCCAAGAUGGCCAUUCUCGACAUUUAUCGACCACAUUGAGGAGAAGUAAUAGAGAUAUUUUACUUGUACAGCUGUAAUUCUGUUACUUGUACAGCUAUAAUUAUGUUGUUGUAUUUGUAUAGACAGUUAAGCCUCUUGUAAGGAUGGAAUUCAUUUAUUUAAUAUAGAUCUGAUUCUUUUAAUUCU